GAUGAACGCUGGCGGCGUGCUUAACACAUGCAAGUCGAACGAAGCUGCUUAACUGAUCUUCUUCGGAAUUGACGUUUUGUAGACUGAGUGGCGGACGGGUGAGUAACGCGUGGGUAACCUGCCCUGUACAGGGGGAUAACAGUCAGAAAUGACUGCUAAUACCGCAUAAGACCACAGCACCGCAUGGUGCAGGGGUAAAAACUCCGGUGGUACAGGAUGGACCCGCGUCUGAUUAGCUGGUUGGUGAGGUAACGGCUCACCAAGGCGACGAUCAGUAGCCGGCUUGAGAGAGUGAACGGCCACAUUGGGACUGAGACACGGCCCAAACUCCUACGGGAGGCAGCAGUGGGGAAUAUUGCACAAUGGGGGAAACCCUGAUGCAGCGACGCCGCGUGAGUGAAGAAGUAUCUCGGUAUGUAAAGCUCUAUCAGCAGGGAAGAAAAUGACGGUACCUGACUAAGAAG
rnacentral:rRNA from 1 species